rnacentral:lncRNA from 1 species
AAGCGCACAGCGCCGCCUUCCGGCAGAGCCCUCCCACCAGCCCUCAGGUACCCGGACGUCGCUCACUAGACCCCUCCGCACCGUCCCCUGCCCGGCCCCUCUUCCGGGGUCCCAGCGGGUCGGGCUCAUGAUUCCCCGGCCCCGCAUUCACCCUCACCCGGUAACCCCGGGCGUGCCCCGCACACAGUUCACCCCCACCGAGCGCCUCCCCCGGGACGCCCACCACCCAGCGCGGCCGCACCACGCGAGGCUUCCACUCCCACCCGCCCAGCUCGCGCCACAUACAGUCCCUCAACGCGCUCCUGCCGCGCCGCCCCCUCCAGACAGCAGCGUUCCGGAUCCUAGACGCUUUUUGACGGCUGGUCCUCCCCAGAAAAUGCGCCGUGUGAGCCCAAACAUGGUGGGGUUUACGCUGGACCCCGAGCUUGCAAUCUGUGCUUGACAAAACACAAACAUCGCGUGCCUGUCUCCUCCCCCUGAGAUCGAGUAGUAACAGCCACUCCAACUCUCCACCUCCAGCUUCUAGCACCAGGGACCGCCUCCACCACCCCAUGUGCCAAGUGGAGUUCGAGCUGCGCGGCCCUCAAGCAGCUGAAGGGUCCCGUGAGCGAUCAGGAGAAGCUGCUGGUCUACGGCUUGUACAAACAGGCCACCCAGGGCGACUGCGACAUCCCCGGCCCUCCGGCCUCAGACGUGAGAGCCAGGGCCAAGUGGGAGGCUUGGAGCGCGAAAAAAGGGGCGUCCAAGAUGGACGCCAUGAGGGGCUACGCGGCCAAAGUGGAGGAGCUGACGAAGAAGGAAGUGGGGGGCGUGGAGCGCGAACAAAGGGGCGUGCAAGAUGGACGCCAUGAGGGGCUACGCGGCCAAAGUGGAGGAGCUGACGAAGAAGGAAGUGGGGGGCGUGGAGCGCGAACAAAGGGGCGUCCAAGAUGGACGCCAUGAGGGGCUACGCGGCCAAAGUGGAGGAGCUGACGAAGAAGGAAGUGGGGGGCGUGGAGCGCGAACAAAGGGGCGUCCAAGAUGGACGCCAUGAGGGGCUACGCGGCCAAAGUGGAGGAGCUGACGAAGAAGGAAGUGGGGGGCGUGGAGCGCGAACAAAGGGGCGUCCAAGAUGGACGCCAUGAGGGGCUACGCGGCCAGAGUGAGGAGAUGAGGAAGAAGGAGGCUGGCUGAGGGCUCCUCGGGAAUGGAAAGGGCUUCUUAGACCUUGAUGGCUGAAAUGUCCUGAAACUGUCGCAAGCUUAGCCGAGACAUCAAUAAAUCACUUAAACUGCAUGAGAGUGACUGCUGUUGGAAAGGAGAAACUCGGUGACUGAGUGCUGGGGAGGCGUCCAAAUACACAGACUAACUUUUUGUAUGGUUUUGGGUGGAGUUCCCAGCUCUCCUAUUACAAGAGCGUAUGUAGGUAUUUGGAAGGACGAGGGGGACAGUGUGCUGUGGAAAUGCCCAAGAUCUGAGGGCAGGAGACCAUUCUCCAGUGACAGCCUCUUGGGAGGUUGAGGCCCCAGCCCCUUAUCUCUUCAAGGCUGAUUUACUAAUACCCCAGCACCACAGAGGGGAGAGGGACUCUGUCCUCCUAAACACUAAAGUCAAGUCCAAAAGCCCCCACUGGAACACAGGGCCUACCCGGUUCAUGUUUUGAGGGAGACCAAGCUUUCCGUGAUGAUAAUGUGAUGAAACAAUUGAUGCGCCAGAACACAGCAGUUUAGAAACAAUGGAGCAGAUGGUGUCAAAAUCCCAGCCCCAGAAAGGCUCACCUAAGGCCGGGCAACCAAAAUGUUCCCGGGACUAUUCUGUACUUAACCCUGGUUUCUGCUUAGGGGACGGUGGGACAAUAUGCAUAUGGAUGUCUAUGUGGGAUUUGUUGCAAGAGCACAACACACCCCUUGACCUAUGCAAGUGCCAGAGUGUCUGAGCCCAGCUUCUACUCCUGUUAAUGAUCACAGGAGCCUCAUACACAACCAUUGUGCAUGGCGGCUGGAGUAUGGAGUAGUAAAUGGUAUCCAGAAAGGCAGGUCUACGGUGGCAUAUGGGAUUUCCUGGUACUUCUUCUUUAAUAGAAACUAUCUUCACAGAUCAUGACAUCAGGUCAGCUGCAGUUCUCACUGGGACCAAUAAACAAUAGAAGCAACAACCAUAAAGACUUAAGAGGACAAAGGAAACCAAACCUCACUGUGUGUCUUCAAGAUCUGUUCACAUAGUUGCAGGAAGUUGCUGUAGACAAAGUACAUUACUAAAGAAUGAAGCCCACCCAGGACAUCACAGCAACGAAAGAACUAUUUCUGGUAACUGUGGACCAGGUGAGAGCCACACUGUAGAACAGCAGUGCUGCCCUCUCUUCUUUGGCGAAUGUUAUGAAGACAUUCUGAUGCACUUAGGAUCAUGAUUCAUGUUAAAUGUAAAUUAAUUGUAAAAAUAAUACAUCUUGCUCCAAAAUGUGGUGACAAUUUAGAAGCUGUCCACAUAGCCAGACCACUCUGUAAAUCACAGAACCUAGAAAGUAAAAAUGUGCCAUAAUUAGGACAGCAGAAAGUAACAGUAAAAUAAAGUUUUAAAAAAAAAAACAGAAAAUAAGGAUUUAUCUAUUUGUAUUUGCUUAAGAAGAGGUUACCUAUAGGAUGCAGGGGGAAUGGGAUUGAUGGGCAUGGGGUAUACUGUGAAAGGAAAAUAAAAUCUUGGGACCAAAUUCACUAAGCGAAAAGGAAAAGUUAAGCUUGGAAAUUGAGUCAUGGAAUAUGCAAAAAACUUCCUUUUGUUCCUAAACAGAUAAGCUACAAGACAGAAGGCCACAUAUCUCCCCAGGUGGUCUCCCUCACCUGACAAUAUAAAUUAACAGCUUAUCUUCAUAGGUAAGGGACAAAGACAACACCAGAAACCAUCCCUCACCAGCCGAGACAAAACAUAGAUGUACUGAGCUGAAUGCAUAACUGUUCCUCUGCCUGCUGCUUUCACUGUAACAUAUAGAUUUGGUGAGCAGUAAAUGUAGAUUUACUGAGCUGAAUGC